CCUACGGGCGGCAGCAGUGGGGAAUAUUGCACAAUGGGCGCAAGCCUGAUGCAGCCAUGCCGCGUGUGUGAAGAAGGCCUUCGGGUUGUAAAGCACUUUCAGCGGGGAGGAAGGCGGUGAGGUUAAUAACCUCAUCGAUUGACGUUACCCGCAGAAGAAGCACCGGCUAACUCCGUGCCAGCAGCCGCGGUAAUACGGAGGGUGCAAGCGUUAAUCGGAAUUACUGGGCGUAAAGCGCACGCAGGGGGUCUGUCAAGUCGGAUGUGAAAUCCCCGGGCUCAACCUGGGAACUGCAUUCGAAACUGGCAGGCUAGAGUCUUGUAGAGGGGGGUAGAAUUCCAGGUGUAGCGGUGAAAUGCGUAGAGAUCUGGAGGAAUACCGGUGGCGAAGGCGGCCCCCUGGACAAAGACUGACGCUCAGGUGCGAAAGCGUGGGGAGCAAACAGGAUUAGAUACCCGGGUAGUC
rnacentral:rRNA from 1 species